GUUGAUAUUUUAAUUGAGUUGUAAAUUUUUUGUACAUGGGUGGGCACCUCCCUAGUGCCAAUAUCAAUACAUAUUUUAUAUUUUUUAUUAAAAAAAUAGAUUCGUAAAUAAUACAAUUGUGUUACAUUUAAUAUGAUAUAAUUUCUAAUUUAUUUAGGAAAUCUAAUGAUAGUCCAUUCUCUAUUAGCCUUAGGUUGAGAAACAA
rnacentral:lncRNA from 1 species